UCCUGGACCACUUUGCCCCAUUUGUUAACCUGAGCCUCAGGUGCUGGGUAUAAUGGGAAAAUGCUUUUAUCGGAUAGAACCAUUGAUACCUUCAUGCUCAGAGCUGCUUUGCCAGUUCAGCUGCUGCUUCACUAAUUUCCUGCUGUAGCAAGUGCAUCUUGUGCUUGAAAAACAGUGUGCUAGUGGAGAACAUGCUGAUCCUUCAGAUGCUGCUGCAGAAAGACCCAGUUGGGGCAACAGAGCCCAUUUUCAAGCAGGGGCUGCUCAUGUAGAGGACAUACUACAGAGAGCAGCUCAGGGUUGUUUGCUGUGCAGGAAUCCACUACAAGGCCAGGCGAGCUGUGAAUCCCCACCCCAGAGGUGAUACCUCCAGUGUUUUCCUCGAGGCUCAUCCCCAGCAUUUUGGGUGCACUCACACUGCAACAAACCCCAGCCAGGCCACUGGUCUGCCUGAAUUGUGGCAAUGGGUGACCACAUUCACAGCAUCCCCAAGAGAAAAGGGAAACAGUGGCCACAAGGAUAUGCCUGUUGAUGAACGAGAAAAGCCUGGCUUCUUUGCGGCCCAUCAUUCUUCUACUGGAAGCAACAAGUAAGUUGCUUCUCCACGAAGCCAGGACUUUGCAGAUCUCUACCAUAUUACCCCUCUUCCAGGCUGGAGAACCCAGGAUGACAUAGUCAUGGAAGACAUUUAAUACUUUUAAUCAUCCCUGCUGCUCUUCUUUGAGCUUUGACAUCCUGAGGAGACCAGAAGAUCAGACAGGAUUCAAGUAGAAGGUGAACCCUGGAUUUAAAGACAUUCACUGCAAAAAGAGCCCUUAAGGUGUUACUGCUCCUCUCUAGCCUCUUCCCCUUCUCCUACUGCAGGUUACCGCCCUCACAGGGCACCAUCCCUCUUCCUGAAAGCAUAGAGUCCAUGCAGACCGCUUAUAAAAUGCCAAACACCUGACUUAACAUGGGCAGCUUAGCAGUGGUGCGGUGGAGAUGACCCACGUGGCCCAUUCUGCUGGCUGGGGGCUCUGCAGCCAAAGGCUGAGUAAAGCAGCUGAGCCUAUAAACCAGCUGGGCACUGCAGCACUGCCACCGGCGUGGCUCUUCCUGUGGCCAACAUUUGACUGGACUUCAGCGUAUGUUCCUAGGAUACAAACAGAAAAAUAUUUUCACUCUCCUACGUGUCAUUCAGGGGAGAAAUUUCGCCCCCAGAACCGACCUUUUUAUGUAACACCAACUAAAUACACAUUUUCAUCUAAGUGGAGAUACUUUGUUAGAAAUAAAUGUGCUUAU
rnacentral:lncRNA from 7 species